UGGGGAAUAUUGCACAAUGGGGGAAACCCUGAUGCAGCGACGCCGCGUGAGCGAAGAAGUAUUUCGGUAUGUAAAGCUCUAUCAGCAGGGAAGAAAAUGACGGUACCUGACUAAGAAGCCCCGGCUAACUACGUGCCAGCAGCCGCGGUAAUACGUAGGGGGCAAGCGUUAUCCGGAUUUACUGGGUGUAAAGGGAGCGUAGACGGAUGUGCAAGUCUGAAGUGAAAGCCCGGGGCUCAACCCCGGGACUGCUUUGGAAACUGUGUAUCUAGAGUGUCGGAGGGGUAAGUGGAAUUCCUAGUGUAGCGGUGAAAUGCGUAGAUAUUAGGAGGAACACCAGUGGCGAAGGCGGCUUACUGGACGAUUACUGACGCUGAGGCUCGAAAGCGUGGGGAGCAAACAGGAUUAGAUACCC
rnacentral:rRNA from 1 species